ACCGCAUCCCCCACCCCUUCCACCUUCACGCAGCACUUGAUCAUCGCCCUCGCCAAUCCCACAAUCUCCUCGAACGUCUCCCCUUUCGCCCUGAGAAGAACUAGAAAAGCGCUGAUCAGCGCCUCGUCAGCCGAGCCGAGCAGGACAUCGAGCGACGCCUCUGCCUCCGAUUCCGACAAAUUUACUCUAUUGAUUAAUAACUCAAUCAACUCCUUGAAGGGAAGCCGUGGGGCUGAGAAGGCAGCGUGUGGGGUUGAGAUCGCCAGGGGCGAGUGAGGCCGGCUUCGUAUGACGCCGAUUGGGGCGGCGAAGGGGAGGCGUAGGGGCGGACGGUGGCGGAGGGAGGGCGGAUUGAUGACGAGUUGGAAACUGGCCACCGCCG
rnacentral:misc_RNA from 1 species